GCGUUCGUCCUGUGCGGUAGCAGUAAUGCCCGCAAAUCGCUCUUUGUGGAUUUAGCAGCAGGUAACGAACGCUU
rnacentral:sRNA from 12 species